CUUGGUCAUUUAGAGGAAGUAAAAGGUCGUAACACGCUUUCCGUAGGUGAACCGUGCGGAAGGAUCAUUAACGAGUUUUGACAUGGGUUGUAGCUGGCCUUCCGAGGCAUGUGCACGCCCUGCUCAUCCACUCUACACCUGUGCACUUACUGUGGGAUUUCAGGUGCGUCGCUUUGCGGCGGCGUCACUUGGCCCCACGUUUUCUUUACAAACUAUUGAAGUAACAGAACGUUUAUUGAUGUAACGCAUCUAAUACAACUUUCAGCAACGGAUCUCUUGGCUCUCGCAUCGAUGAAGAACGCAGCGAAAUGCGAUAAGUAAUGUGAAUUGGAGAAUUCAGUGAAUCAUCGAAUCUUUGAACGCACCUUGCGCUCCUUGGUAUUCCGAGGAGCAUGCCUGUUUGAGUGUCAUGAAGUUCUCAACGUAUAAACCUUUGCGGGUAUCCAGGGUUGGCUUAUUGGAGGCUUUCGCUGGCCCUCGUUUGAGUCAGCUCCUCUCAAAUGCAUUAGCUUGGUUCCUUGCGGAUCGGCUGUCGGUGUGAUAAUGUCUACGCCGCGACCGUGAAGCGUUUGGAGAGCUUCUAAUGGUCUCGUCAGAGACAGCUUUUAUGAACUCUGACGGCAAAUCAGGUAGGACUACCCGCUGAACUUAAGCAUAUCAAUAAGCGGAGGAAGCAUAUCAAUAAGCGGAGGA
rnacentral:rRNA from 1 species